UCGUGAUUCAUUUUAAGGUCAUAUGCUCUUGUUCGAGCUGUCAAGAUAACUUGCUUUCCAGUAUUCUUCUUCACAAGUAAAAAGGUUCGAGUAUUUGCUGUACAGGUUUAAUUAGUCAACUCUUGCUUAUAUCUAUAAACCAAGUUAACCAAUGGCAGAGUGAUCCAUCUCUUUCCUCGUUAGUCCUAAACAUUGCCACUGGAACUUCUGAAAUCAAUGAUUUAAAAAUGUGCAGGUAAUGCUUUUGGCAACUCUCAGCCUGCCUUGGUGCCAGCAAGGACAUCAGAAGCAGUCUAUGUACGGUGACCGAUUCAUUCUCAGUUAUUGAUCCGACGUAAUGAGUUCUGCAAUACUAAUCUGCUAUUCUGAAGUUGAACUUGCAACCCUGCAUUUGAAUCUCAAUUGUUGGGUCAACGAGAUAAUUGUGUAGUAGCUAUCAUGGAGAACAUAGCCUUUCUGCCGCUACAAUGAUCAACAUUCUCUCUCUUGUUGUUUCAAAUUAAAUUCCGAGCUCACCCUGCAGUAAUGCCUUGUUCAUCGCUGUGCAUGGAUAUUCAGGUAAAGAAAGUUUUCAUGUCAUAGAUGAAUGGCGUGUUGUCGAGCACAUGAAACUUAGGGACAUCUAUGACAAGGGUGACAAAGUGUCCACUGCAGAGAAAGGAAAUGAACAAGUGCUUGGGAGCUCAUUAUAUGCCUCUAGCGAUGCUGCAAUGUGAUUAGAAGUGACGCUGAAGGUGAUGGCGGACAGAUGUCACCCUGCAUAUCGAAGAUUAGGAUGGAAAGGGC